rnacentral:rRNA from 1 species
UUACGGAGUAACGAAGUUCAGUAUGCUGGGCGCCUUAUUGGAUUGGCGCUAUUAGUGUUAGGGUUUCUGAUUGGUAAAUCCGUCAGAAUGCGUUUGAUCGCGACCCCAAGCACAGAUAAAAUUUUUCCGUUCGCGGAAGAAAAUUUGGCAAAGCGAGCUUCCAAGAAAAACUUCGUAAAUUAGCUAUUGUUAUCCGUACCGAAAACCGACACAGGUGGGCAGGGCGAGUAGCCCACGGCGAACGAGUGAUUCGUGGUUAAGGAACUCGGCAAAAAAGCGGCCGUAAGUUAGCGAUAUGGCCUUCCCGAGAUGCCGCAAGGCAUUUUUCGGGACGCAGCUAAAGAUUCCCUAGCGACUGUUUAUCAAAAACACAGCUCCCUGCUAACUCGUAAGAGGAUGUAUAGGGGGUGACGCCUGACCUAUGCGAGAAGGUUAACGGCAGACGUCCAAUAUUCUGCGCAAGUGGAGUAGUGGGCGAAAGCCCGAAGCCCUCGUAAAUGUCAGCGAUAACUAUAAAGUAACGAUUGUAGUUAAAAAAUCUGACUAUAUGCUGGAAAACCCGCGCAUGCAGAAAUACUUUAAUACAGUGAUGUAUUGAAGUGAUAAUUUUCUGACGAUGCGGACAAUCAGCAGGAAAGAUUCCUAAUUAUAUUGGGAAAAUCCCCAGAGACUAUACGUCAGACUCCGACAGUAAGCCGGAGAAGAUAUAGUCCGAUCUCUAUGGCGACAUAGAGAGUUGCUCCGAUUAAAAAUUGGAGCAGAAUAACACAAAAGAAUCGUUCUAAGGUGGAUAACACUGCCUUAGUAAAAUUCGGCUGUAUCGGUGAACAUCUCAAAUUAAAAUUUGAGACAAUACCGAGGAAACCCAGCACUUAUUUUUGAGCUUAAAAAUAGAAAACCGCUGGAGCCAGUACAAAUGGCUACGCAGCGGUCAGUGUGCGACGUUAUUAUGUGAGUUUACCAUAUUCAGGCGGCUAGCCACCUGCUCACACUAUAUAAUCAUCACAAUUGACAGUAUAGCAUAUAGACUGUAUUUUGUCAAGAGCUUAAAAAUAAGUGCUGGGACUCCGUAGAGACUAUACGCCGAACCCUGAGCCGCCACAUGGCGAGUCUAAGGGAAGAUAUAGUCCGAACUCUAUGGUGACAUAGAGAGAUAGAUAGAAAUACUCUAUCCAAUUCUAGAUUAUAUAUCUAGAUUAAGUAACAAAAUUGAGCGUAAUUCCUUGUCUGGUGAUUGAAUUGCCAGUCUCGAUAGAAAUGUCGGGAACAAAUCCGGCUUAUAACGGUGAAGUCCUCAUUGGAGUUCCGCAUCAAGGGCGGAACAAUGAAAAUAGGAUAAUACCGUGGGAAGUCGUUUCGCAGUUGCGAGAUUGACCCCGUAACGACUGGAGUCGCCAACAACUGUUGGCGACAAAGAUGGAUUUUGUUAUAAUUAAAUUAAGUAAUUAUAUAGUCCAUAACAUGCCGGCGCCUAGUAUUAAAAAUCGAAAUUUAGGAGAAUAUAUUUCUGGUUUUGUAGAUGGAGAAGGCUGUUUUAGUGUCUCAUUUUCCAAACGCAAAAAAUUUAUUGUUGGAUGGGAGACAAAACCAAGCUUUUCCGUAAGCCAGAAUUAUGAUCGAGCAGAAAUUCUUUUUCACAUGCAGAAAAGAUUCAAAUGUGGAUUUAUGAGAAGAGAUUUUUCUGAUCGGACGCUUAAAUAUGAGGUGAGAAGACUUGAUGAUUUAAUCAAUAAAAUUAUUCCUCAUUUUAAGAAAUAUCCUCUUCUUUCAGCUAAACAUAAAGACUUUCAAAUUUUUUGUGAGAUUUGUCUAAAAAUGACUGACGGAAGGCAUAAAAAUUUAAAAGGCCUUAAAGAAAUUAUAGAUUUAGCAUUUAAAAUGAAUGCCAGCGGAAGAAGACGAUACUCCAAAAAAGAUAUCUUAGAUUUUUCUAAUACUCGGAUGAAGAUAUAGUCUAUGCCACUAGAAAUAGUGGAAUAACAUGAAGUUCAGACGUGCACGAAAGGCGUAACGACUGGGGAACUGUCUCAACCACGAGCUCGGUGAAAUUGCAAUUCCAGCGAAGAUGCUGGGUACCUGUAGCAAGACGAAAAGACCCCGGGAGCUUUACUGCAGCUUAGUAUUGGCUAUAGGGUUUGAAUGCGUAGCAUAGAAGGGAGGCUUUGAAGUCCCGCUUUUGGGCGGGAUGGAGCCAUCAGUGAAAUACCUUUCUUUCAAACUUUAUAAUCUAAUUCUAACGGAAAAAACGUUAGAAAACAGUGCUUGGCGGGCAGUUUUAGUGGGGCGCUAUCCUCCAAAAACGUAACGGAGGAGUCCAUUAAGGUCGGCUAACUUCGGAUGGAAAUCGAAGUGAUAGGGCAAAUCCAAAAGCCGGCUUAACUGCAAGGCAUACACGCCGCGCAGGUGCGAAAGCAGGGAUUAGUGAACUGUUUAUGGUUCGUAGUAACGUAAACAAUCAUCGGAUAAAAGCUACCCCGGGGAUAACAGGCUAGUCGCAUCCAAGAGUCCAUAUCGACGAUGCGGUUCGGCACCUUAACAUAUUGGGGUGCAAUGCGAGUAAUCGCAUUAGCCAUUUGAGAAAUCUUGUUUGAUAGGCAAGAUCUCAAAGAAAAAAUUGGCUUAUAACGGUGAACUCCAUAUGGUAAAAUAACUAUAUGGACAAUACCGUGGGAAGUUUAACGAAGUUUGAACGACAAAUAAUUGUCGGCUCGCUUUUGGGUGACGGGUAUAUGAGAAUUAUACCUGGUAGGUCUAAUGCUUUUUUAGAAGUAAAUCAUUCUAUUAAAGCAAGGGCGUAUGUUGAUUAUAAAUUUGAGUCUUUAAAAAGACUCUGUGAAUCACCUCCAAAAGAAAGAUCGAUAAAUGAAGGUCGUAUUGCUUAUAGAUUUUUUACCAAACAACAUAAAGCGUUAACAGAUUUGUAUCAUCAAUUUUAUCAGCAUGGGAGAAAAACAAUUUCUGCUGGUCUAGUGCUUGAUCCCGUGACAUUAGCUGUUUGGUAUAUGGAUGACGGAAGUAAAUCUCGUGAUUGUGAUGUGUAUUUAAAUACGCAACAAUUUAGCGUAAAAGAUCAAAAGAGAUUACUUCAUUGUUUAAGAUUGCUUGGUAUACAGGCAAGAUUAAAUAAAGAUAAGCAUUAUUUUCGAAUAAGAAUCAUGAAGGGAAGCAUUAAUAUUUUUAUGAAAAUGAUUUCUCCGCAUGUUAUUAAUUCGAUGAAAUAUAAACUCGUUAUAACCCCGUAGAGACUGUUCCCGAUUAUCGGGAUGAGCGUUUCAAAUAAGAAACGCUAAUACGCCAACUCCUCAUCAUGGUUGAUUGCCGUGAAAGGAAGAAGAUAUAGUCCAUGCUGUUAGUAAUAACAGAAACACAUACGAUGUCGGCUCAUCUUAUCCUGGGGCUGGAGAAGGUCCCAAGGGUUUGGCUGUUCGCCAAUUAAAAAGGUACGUGAGCUGGGUUCAAACCGUCGUGAGACAGGUUGGUCUCUAUCUGCUACAGGCGUUGAUACUUGAGGAGCGUCAUCUCUAGUACGAGAGGACCGAGAUGACGGAACCUCUGGCGUACCGGCUGUCCUGCCAAGGGCACUGCCGGGUAACUAUGUUCCGAAUUGAUAAGCGCUGAAAGCAUCUAAGCGCGAAGCAAUCUCCAAGAUUAGGUAUCGAUGCCCCGCAAUUGCGGGGCGAGAGCUUCCUCGAAGAUUACGAGGUUGAUAGGCGAUAGGUGUAAGCGCGGUAACGCGUUGAGCCAAGUCGUACUAAUAAAGCGAAAUCUACUCAUC